rnacentral:tRNA from 1 species
GCGUUGGUGGCAUAGUGGUUAGGACGCUCGCCAACCAUGCACAUGUUCGGGGGUUCGAUUCCCGUCCAACGCA